AGCACUUCGGUGUGAGUAGAGUGGCGGACGGGUGAGUAACGCGUGGGAAUCUACCCAGUAGCGGGGGACAACUACCGGAAACGGUAGCUAAUACCGCAUACGCCCUAUGGGGGAAAGGCUUCGGCCGCUAUUGGAUGAGCCCGCGUCAGAUUAGCUAGUUGGUAGGGUAAAGGCCUACCAAGGCAACGAUCUGUAGCUGGUCUGAGAGGACGAACAGCCACACUGGGACUGAGGCACGGCCCAGACUCCUACGGGAGGCAGCAGUGGGGAAUAUUGGACAAUGGGCGAAAGCCUGAUCCAGCAAUGCCGCGUGUGUGAAGAAGGCCUGCGGGUUGUAAAGCACUUUCAGUUGGGAAGAUGAUGACGUUACCAAUAGAAGAAGCACCGGCUAAAUCCGUGCCAGCAGCCGCGGUAAUACGGAUGGUGCGAGCGUUAAUCGGAAUUACUGGGCGUAAAGCGCGCGUAGGCGGCUAAGUCAGUCAGAAGUGAAAGCCCCGGGCUCAACCUGGGAAUUGCUUUUGAUACUGCUUAGCUAGAGUUUGGUAGAGGAUAGUGGAAUUCCAGGUGUAGCGGUGAAAUGCGUAGAUAUCUGGAGGAACAUCAGUGGCGAAGGCGACUGUCUGGACCAAAACUGACGCUGAGGUGCGAAAGCGUGGGUAGCAAACAGGAUUAGAUACCCUGGUAG
rnacentral:rRNA from 1 species